CAUUCCAACUAUCCUUUCUUGCUUGAAUCCAGCAGGGUAAUGACUGACCCAACUGCUGCACAUAUCAAGUACUGCUACUCCUGGAGUGUUACUGGAAGGCAAGACCUCUGAGUAAUACUUGGUAAGUGCAGCAAUAGCUUGAUCAUCAAUAUGUGUCACGAAACGCGGCAUUUCAUAGAAUAAUGUAUCUGAUGAUUCAUCAAACCGCUGGAAAUCUUCAUCCUUGAAAGGAAAUUGUUCUGGCCAUUCAACAUUCUUCAAAACCUGUUCAAUUGCACCCUUCUGUCUUGCAGAAGCCACAAAGGAUUUAGCACCGAUAUUGUCAGCCAUACUCAUGAACUGAGACCACAACGAUAUCCCAAUCCCCAAGACAAGUCUACGAUGAAUAUUUCUGCACCGAAUUGCUCUCCUCUUACCAACACUUAUUGAAUUUUGAGCCUUUGAACAACAUUGAACUGGGGCUGAAAAUGGAUAAAUGCCCGCCAAUUUUGGCAGCAGACUCUGUAACUUCACACCAAAACCUUUAGCCAUUUUUGGGUUAUGAUGUUUUUAUCUAGAACAAAUUUUUUUUUGAAUGUUGAUUGGAUUGAUUUU
rnacentral:misc_RNA from 1 species